CCAGACUCCUACGGGAGGCAGCAGUGGGGAAUAUUGCACAAUGGGGGAAACCCUGAUGCAGCAACGCCGCGUGGGUGAAGGAGCGUUUCGGCGCGUAAAGCCCUGUCAGCGGGGAAGAAGAAAGACGGUACCCGACCAAGAAGCCCCGGCUAACUACGUGCCAGCAGCCGCGGUAAUACGGAGGAUGCGAGCGUUAUCCGGAUUUAUUGGGUUUAAAGGGUGCGUAGGCGGACAGUCAAGUCAGCGGUAAAAAUGCGGUGCUCAACGCCGUACAGCCGUUGAAACUGGCAGUCUUGAGUGGGCGAGAAGUAUGCGGAAUGCGUGGUGUAGCGGUGAAAUGCAUAGAUAUCACGCAGAACUCCGAUUGCGAAGGCAGCAUACCGGCGCCCGACUGACGCUGAGGCACGAAAGCGUGGGUAUCGAACAGGAUUAGAUACCCUUGUA
rnacentral:rRNA from 1 species